GACGAACGCUGGCGGCGUGCUUAACACAUGCAAGUCGAACGGAAAGGCCCUGCUUUUGUGGGGUGCUCGAGUGGCGAACGUGUGAGUAACACGUGAGUAACCUGCCCUUGACUUUGGGAUAACUUCAGUAAACUUGGGCUAAUACCGGAUAGGAGCUCCUGCUGCAUGUUGGGGGUUGGAUAGUUUCGGCGGUUGGGGAUGGACUCGCGGCUUAUCAGCUUGUUGGUGGGGUAGUGGCUUACCAAGGCUUUGACGGGUAGCCGGCCUGAGAGGGUGACCGGCCAAAUCGGGACUGAGAUACGGCCCAGCCUCCUACGGGAGGCAGCAGUGGGGAAGAGUGAAUAAUGGGCGGAAGCCUGAUGCAGCGACGCCGCGAGCGGGAUGACGGCAUUCGAGUUGUAAAACGCUUUCGCCUGUGACGAAGCGUGAGUGACGGUAAAGGGUAAAGAAGCACCGGCUAACUACGUG
rnacentral:rRNA from 1 species